UACGGAAGGCAGCAGUGGGGAAUAUUGGACAAUGGGCGGAAGCCUGAUCCAGCCAUGCCGCGUGUGUGAAGAAGGCCUUUUGGUUGUAAAGCACUUUAAGCGAGGAGGAGGCUACUAGUACUAAUACUACUGGAUAGUGGACGUUACUCGCAGAAUAAGCACCGGCUAACUCUGUGCCAGCAGCCGCGGUAAUACAGAGGGUGCGAGCGUUAAUCGGAUUUUACUGGGCGUAAAAGCGUGUGUAGGCGGCUGAUUAAGUCGGAAUGUGAAAUCCCCUGAGCUUAACUUAGGAAUUGCAUUCGAUACUGGUCAGCUAGAGUAUGGGAGAGGAUGGUAGAAUUCCAGGUGUAGCGGUGAAAUGCGUAGAGAUCUGGAGGAAUACCGAUGGCGAAGGCAGCCAUCUGGCCCUAAUACUGACGCUGAGGUACAAAGCAAUGGGGAGCAAACAAGGAAUUAAGAAUAACC
rnacentral:rRNA from 1 species